GCAAAGGUACUUUGAAAGUGGGGAAAGUACAAGUAGGCUUUUGGCUUGUGGGAGAAAAACUCACAUUGAUGAAACUUUAGAACUGUUCGUUUCCUCCAUCCCUCUGCCCAGGACCGGUGCCACCUAUAGGCAAGAUAGUCUGCAGCGCCCUCUCAAGGGGGUUGAUGCUCCGUCCGCUGCAUGAAAGUUAACUGUGUUCCUGUUAGUGCGUGCAAGAAACCCCCAACCCCGCCUGGGCUAGUAAAGGAGCGCACUCAGGUCCUGCCAUGCUUAACAAUGCCCGCCCCC